AUCGGAUAUCAUUACCGUCCCUGCGUUUCAUCUUUCACAUGGCAACUGUCUACAAUUUUCUUUUUUUUAUAUAAAUUGUUAUGUUCAUGUUUAUGCAGAUUAAAUCCUGUAUUUCAAUCAAAGAUGCGUUUUUUUUUUCUUUUUUUUCAAUCAAUCUGUAAAAGGGUAUGUCGGAAUUCCUCUGUACUGAGAGGAUUUUGCUUCUGGGGUGGCAGCAGUUUGCAGAUUCGCAUCGUUUUUAAAUCGCCGACAGUGGUAGGUCCUGGGAUGUUCUGCCGUUUGGACUUGUCUGAAGGUUUGUUAUGGUUUUCGGGAUGCUAAGGUUCCAGUGAAGGUCUGCCUCCAUGGUUGGCUGCAGCACUCUGUCCCCGUUUGCUGUCAACUAUGAGUGCAAUCCCUCAUGUAUCGUCUAUCAUAUGGAAUCUCUACUGGAAGGUGUAUUUCUCGAAUAUUGGAAUCGAAGAGCCACUGAGACCGAUUGCAGCUGAAAGAUUGUAUUAUUCUAUCUAAUCACGCCCCUCGCCAUAUCUGCUACUCUAUAUAUUAGUUGGACAUGUAGGAAGGUGGUUGGAUGUGAUCCUUUAUAUAAGUUUUCAGACAACCAGCUCCUCGGAGAGAUUCACUCA